rnacentral:lncRNA from 13 species
AAGAGAGGAAAGAUGAGAAGCCCGAGAAAUAAUAAAACACUUGAUUCUCAGACAGCACGUAUUAUAUACGCAUUCUUCAAAAGAAAUGAUUGAUCGUCGAGUGUGAUUAUAUUAAUUCAAUCGCCAAAGUACUUUCAAUGAUAGCAAUUGAAGAUAGGAAACGAUAAUUGCGGAGGAUAAGUCAAGUGCAUUAAACUGCUGGGAUAAAUCGAAUUAACGACUUAAAAGUGACAGUUGGCAGAUGCGCUCCCUCGGGACGGAAGCCGUUCUCGUCGGCAACGUAGUUGACGGUAU